rnacentral:snRNA from 1 species
GCUUUCCGCUUAGUGAUUUUCU